UACGUAGGGUGCGAGCGUUGUCCGGAAUUAUUGGGCGUAAAGGGCUCGUAGGCGGUUCGUCACGUCGGGAGUGAAAACUCGGAGCUUAACUCCGAGCCUGCUUCCGAUACGGGCAGACUAGAGGUAGGCAGGGGAGAGCGGAACUCCUGGUGUAGCGGUGAAAUGCGUAGAUAUCUGGAGGAACACCGGUGGCGAAGGCGGCAUCCUGGACCGGUAUUGACGCUGAGGCGCGAAAGCCAGGGGAGCAAACGGG
rnacentral:rRNA from 1 species